rnacentral:lncRNA from 1 species
GAGCUGGCGUCACACUUAGCCAUCCUGGCCUGUGAGCGGGUGCCCCCUUGCCAACACAGUGGCUAGGCAACUCACUUGCCCCUGGGAGAAGUGCGCUGCGGAGCAGACCUAGGGGAAAGGGAACCUUUCCUCAGACCUUGCCUAGCACUCUUAGGAUUGAGUCCACCCCCGUUCUGUACAUAGCCUCUUCUGAUGGUCUUAUUGAAAUUCAAUUUCACAUUUUUAACUAUCAAUUUUCCCCGGGGUGGGGAAGAAUCUUCACCUCACCCCUUCCUCGCUGGGUGCUGGACCCCCAUUGCGGCCUGGGCUCUGCCUUGCACUAUUUAACCCUUUGGCCUAGUGGCCCUUCCCCCUCCUGGAAAGGGGCAGGUUCAGGGGCCCGGUGCUCUCCUCUCCCCACGCACCUCCAUGCCCAUUUGCACAGCUGCCCAGGUACCCCCAACAGUGGGGAGGGGUCACACAGGGAGGGGUGGCGGGACCAGUCCCUGUAUCUAUUUAAAAAGUGAUGUAAUAUAUUAGGAGGGAGGUCAGGUGCCCUGGGCCUCAUCUUAGCAUUUCAGGUGAUAGGGGAGCCCGCGGCUGGAGAAACCUGGGGCUAAGUCCCAGAGAGUGGGGACAGUGGCCUCCACUCUCUCUCCUUGUGGCUUUCCCACUCAGUGCCUUAGUGGGGGAAAGCAUUCCCCCUACCAUUCCCUUCAUCUACCCUUGCCCCCUCCCCCUGCCUCGGGUGUAAGUGACAGGAAGAAAUAAUAAUAAUUUAAGAUUC